rnacentral:rRNA from 1 species
AGUGAACGCUGGCGGUAGGCCUAACACAUGCAAGUCGAACGGCAGCACAGUAAGAGCUUGCUCUUACGGGUGGCGAGUGGCGGACGGGUGAGGAAUACAUCGGAAUCUACUUUUUCGUGGGGGGUAACGUAGGGAAACUUACGCUAAUACCGCAUACGACCUACGGGUGAAAGCAGGGGAUCUUCGGACCUUGCGCGAUUGAAUGAGCCGAUGUCGGAUUAGCUAGUUGGCGGGGUAAAGGCCCACCAAGGCGACGAUCCGUAGCUGGUCUGAGAGGAUGAUCCGCCACACUGUAAGUGAGACAGGGUCCAGACUCCGACGGGAGGCAGCAGUGCGGAAUACUGGACAAUGGGGGCAAGCCUGAUCCUGCCAUACCGCGUGGGUGAAGAAGGACUUCUGGUUGGAAAGCGAUUUUGUUGGGAAAGUAAAGCAGCAGGUUAAUAUCCCGCUGUUCUGACGGUACCCAAAGAAUAAGCCCCGGCUAACUUCGUG